rnacentral:rRNA from 1 species
UCGGAUAAAUUUAAGGUGUUUAUAUUUAUUUUAAGAUUAAGUUGAAAACAUUUUUGUACUUAGUAAUGGUGAUUGAAAUUGUAUAAUGGAGGAAUAGUACUGUAAAGGAAUUAAAAUUUAGUUAUGUUAAAGCAGUUAUUUGAAAUGUACCUUUUGUAUCAUGGUUUAGCAAGAUUAUCAAGUUAAAUUAUUUUUCUAGAAAUCUAAUGAGCUAUUUUGAUUUAUUUUUAUAGGAUUAAUUAAAAUAAAUGUAGCAAAAUUUUCUAAAAAAAUUAAAAUAGAAAUUAUAUUUUAUUCGUAUUAGAUGAUAGCUAGUUUUUUUAUAAAUAUAUAUAAGUAUAUAAUUAUAUAUUAAUUGAUUAGAUAUAAUAUAUUUAAUCAAUUUUAAUAUAAAUUACAGAUAAUAAAGGCUAAUCUUGAUUAUUAUAAAAAGAGUAUUGUAUUGUAUUUUUAUAUGAAAUAUAAGCUUGAAGUUAGUUAUUAUAUUUAGUUUGUUAUAAAAUAUUAUAGUGUUUAUACUAAAUUGAUUUAUUAAUGUAUUUUAUUAUUAUGAGAACGUGUAAGUGGAAUUAUUUAUUAAUUAUAUUGUUUAUGCUUAAAUGAGUAUUUUGAUAUUAUAUUAUUUAAAUAAAAUAGAUAUUUAAAUAAAUUUUUAUUUUGGUGUAUUAAAAUAUAAAUAAGGAAUUCAGCAAAGUUAUUAAUUCGCCUGUUUAGCAAAAACAUGUCUUUUUGAUUUUAGAAAUAUAAAAAGUCUGACCUGCCCGGUGAGUAUAUUAAACGGCCGCGGUAUUUUGACCGUGCGAAGGUAGCAUAAUCAAUUGUCUUAUAAUUGAAGACUGGAAUGAAUGGUUGAACGAAAUUAAAACUGUUUCAUUUGUAUUAAUUAGAAAUUGGUUUUUAAAUGAAGAGAUUUAAAUUUAAUUAAUAGACAAGAAGACCCUAUUGAGCUUAAAAUAACUUUAAAAUUAAAAAUUUAUUAUUAGAGAUUUAAGUUUUGAAUGUUUUUUAGUUGGGGCGACUAAGGAACAGGAGAAGCUUCCUUUAUUUGUUAAAUUGAUGAAUUUUGAUCCAGUAUUGAGCUGAUUAAUGGAGAUAGUUACCAUAGGGAUAACAGCAUAAUCUUCUUGGAGAGUUCUUAUCAAAAAGGGGGGUUGUGACCUCGAUGUUGGAUUAAAAUAUCCUAAGGGUGUAGAGGCUUUUAAGGGUUGGUCUGUUCGACCAUUAAAAUUUUACAUGAUCUGAGUUCAGACCGGCGUGAGCCAGGUCAGUUUCUAUCUUUAAUUGAUGAUGGUUAAUUUUAGUACGAAAGGACCAAGUUAAUAGAAUGAAUAAAUCUAUUUUUUGAAUUUAUAUAAUUAGUAAUUUAAUUUUAUUAUAUUUUGUAUUAUUUAGUUGAUG